AUUGAACGCUGGCGGCAUGCCUUACACAUGCAAGUCGAACGGCAGCACGGGAGCAAUCCUGGUGGCGAGUGGCGAACGGGUGAGUAAUGUAUCGGAACGCGCCUUGUCGUGGGGGAUAACGUAGCGAAAGCUACGCUAAUACCGCAUACCAUCUAAGGAUGAAAGCGGGGGGAUCGCAAGACCUCGCGCGACAAGAGUGGCCGAUAUCAGAUUAGGUUGUUGGUGGGGUAAAGGCCUACCAAGCCGACGAUCUGUAGCUGGUCUGAGAGGACGACCAGCCACACUGGGACUGAGACACGGCCCAGACUCCUACGGGAGGCAGCAGUGGGGAAUUUUGGACAAUGGGCGAAAGCCUGAUCCAGCAAUGCCGCGUGCAGGAUGAAGGCC
rnacentral:rRNA from 1 species